UGAAUGAAUCUGUUAAGCUCAGGAGGGAUAGCGCCAUGGAUGAUCUUCUCUUGCUCCAUUUUUGAUCUUCUAUUGUGCUAUCCAUCCUGAGUUUCAUGGGUUUCUU